GUGCUAACUUUGGCAACACAUAUACUAAAAUUGGAAUGAUACAGAGAUUAUCAUGGCCCCUGUGCAAAUUUGUGAAGCGUUCCAUAUUAAA
rnacentral:snRNA from 1 species